rnacentral:snRNA from 1 species
UGCUUGCUUCGGCAGCAAUAUACUAAAAUGAGAAUGAUACAGAGAAGAUUAGCAUGGCGUCUGUGCAAGAAUUACACGCAAAUUUGUGAAGUGUUCCAUUUUUAU